UUAGUAUAAUGUCCUUAAGCACUAAAAACAAACAAAAAAAUUCCAUCUAAUGAAGUUUUUGAGUGCUUAGAAGACUUUGGCAAUUUUUAGUCUUUCGUACUACUAAAUUCGAUGACCUCAUUGAUGGUUUGACAUGCUCGGCAGUGGAGUCGUAAUAUUUGGAUUUUUGCAUUUGGUUCAGGCAAUGGCUGGAGGUAUUUAUGUUCGAUCUUUUUAGUUGCACUAUACUGUAAACCGUUAUUUAUGCUAACAUAGGUAUCUUGUAAUCAUGUUCCAUGAACUUACAGGCAAAGUGGGAUAAUUUCAUCUUCGAUUUCACGAGUCUAGAGUAAAUACGCCAUUUGUAAAGCAAUGAUGGGAUGAACUUUAUGUGCUCUUUUUAUUGUAUCAACGCUAGGUUUUUAUAAUCUGAUGUAUUUUAUCUUUCCUUCUUCCAUCAGGUUCUUUAGCUCUCCCAUCUUUGCAAGAAAGCAAAGAAUCACCAGAGAGAUAUGUUGCGUUGCAGUUAAGCUAAAUGAAAAAGAAAAUAAAUGAACAUGAGGGAAAAGGAGAGGAACGGUG
rnacentral:lncRNA from 1 species